ACUCAUCUCAUAUAGAGAAUUAAUUUUCCUGAAAUGAUAAUUAUGAUAAUGAAGAUAACAAUGAUAGUUUCUGCUAUGUAUACUGAAUCUUCCAAGAUGUCCAAUACAUUCUAUAGGUGAUUUUUUAAUUCUCUCAACCAUCCCAUGAAUUAGGACUUGUUAAUAUCAUCCCCAUUUUAGAGAGGAAGUAGUUUUAACUUAGACAAGGUAAGUAACUUGCCCAAGGUGGUGGAGUUAUGAAGUAACUCUGGUGGUUGGUCUGACAUCAAUUCUUUGGUUUUUACUGCAGUGAUUUACUUACUGGCAUUUACAGCCUCUCCCUUGUUAGCCUAAGUCCUUGGCUGGCACCCAUUCCCCCCCCCCCCCCCCCCCCCCCACACAUUCCCUCUUACUUAUUCACCCCAGUGGCCUCUGUGGCUUCCAAUUAUCCUGACAUUCAAAUCCAUCCACAAACAGCCUCCUCCUCUACAGCCAACCACUUCCCCACAUGAACCCUUCAAUCCAGCUAAAGGAGUCACUUUGUUUUUUGUUUUUUUUUUCCCUCUCCAUGUAGUCUCACCUUUGCUCAAGCAGCUCCCUUCAGCUGCAGUGCCCAUUCCCACCUCCUCACCACCUGUCUACAUUCUGGCUGGGUCAGCUGAAAAGAAAAAUUUCCAAGGAUGGAGAGAAGAUAGGCAGUGGGUGGCUGAGCCCAAGGAAGUAUGAAAGAGCUGACAUCACUCAACAACAAUACUGCGGCUGAUGAGAGUUUGUGUUUCUCCAUGAUGGGACCAGAAGUUCUUCAUCCACUAAAAGGUCAAGGGUGGGUGCAACAGGGAGAUAGACUGUGUUGGUUAUUCUCUGUUUGCUUCUCCCCACCCAUAUCUUGAUUCAUACCAUGCCCUUCACCUUUUGUGCUCUAGGACACUGACCUCUAUGGAUUCCAUUAUCAAGGUUCUUUUGUCCUUUGGCUUCUAGAUCAGUUUGGCCAAAGGAAGGCAGCCAUGGAGUAUUGGAAGAUGGGAGGAGAAAGAGGUUAGAGUAUGUAUUUCCCCUCUCCCACCUUUUCUUGAUCACAGAUUUGGCAGAGGCUCUAUUCUAUGGAUACAGCUUCUAUCAGCAAUUCCUCUUUGAUGGCUCCAUACUGUUUUCAGUCUCUGGAAGCAACAUUCACUAUUCUUGCCUCUUAACUUCUGGAGUAGUAAUGAUUUCCCUCUAUUGCUGGUCCCUGGGUAUUUCCCCAAGCUUUUUGCUCCCCUUAGCUUUCUCCAUAUCUCUUUAAAUAAUACUUUCAUUAAACUCUCAGUUCCAGCAUUUGUGCUUACCAUUUCUUUCCUGCUAGUACAUGGACCGAUACAUCGUAGAAGGAAGGACAAAUUGUGAGGGAUCAGGUGAGGACAGCCAUUGGCAUUGGGAUGCAGCUACAAGUGGUAGGGGAAAUGCAGCUUGGAAGACGGAACACAGAAAAUAGAGAAUAUGGGGACAUAACAGUUAGUAUUCUAGAUGAGCAAUCAGCACUACAGAAUAAUUGCAAGGAGUAGUGAUAUGAAUUUAUGGGCAUGUGCAGUAAGGGAGUGAAGAAUCCAAGAGAAGAUAGUCCUUGGGAGAAUCUGAUGGCCAAAUAGAAUGAGAGAAUCAGAGUUCCCAGACAUCAGGGCUUCAGGUGCCAGAGUUCUUGUCUUUCUUUGGGAGUUGGAAAAUGGACAGAAAAGCUUCAGUGUAGAUGAUUCAGUUCGUAAACAGAUUAUCAAACACUAGUUAAUUUCCUUCACAGGUAUGUUUAUUUGCUCAUUCAUUCAUAAAAUAUUUAUUGAGCUCCUUCUGUAUUGUAGGCUCUGAGCUGGACACCAAGAAUAUAAAAGUGAAUAAGGUACAUUAUCUGAUUUCAUGGGGCUGACGAUCUACCAGAAGGUAAAGAUAUGCAUGAAUGUAAUUUCAGUACACAGUGAUUGGACACCUGUAUCUAGACAUAUACUGCAGUAUAUGAAAUAAAAUACGCAUGAAACUUAACUCUUCUUCUAAA
rnacentral:lncRNA from 1 species